rnacentral:rRNA from 1 species
GUCCACGCCGUAAACGAUGAGUGCUCGAUGCUGCCCCGAUUGGGGGGCAGUGUCUAAGCUAACGCGUUAAGCACUCCACCUGGGGAGUACGCUCGCAAGGGUGAAACUCAAAGGAAUUGACGGGGGCCCCGCACAAGCGGUGGAGCAUGUGGAUUAAUUCGAUGCAACGCGAGGAACCUUACCCAGGCUCGAACACCAGAGGACAGCCCCUGAAAGGGGGUCUCCCGCAAGGGCCUUUGGUGAGGUGCUGCAUGGCUGUCGU